GCCAUAAGAAAAAAUUAUGGUGUGACCUGCCCAGUGAUAUUUCAACGGCCGCGGUAUCCUGACCGUGAUAAUGUAGCAUAAUCAUUUGUUACUUAAUUAGUAAAUAGUAUGAAUGGUUGAACGAAUUUCCCAUUGUCUCUGAUUAAGAUUUAUGAAAUUAAAAUAAUAGUAAAGAUGCUAUUUUAAAUUGAAAGACGAAAAGACCCUAUAGAGCUUGACUAUAAAUCUGAUUGGUAGUUUAGUUGGGGCGACUGCCUUUUAUUAAUAACAAAGGCAAAUAUGAGAAUAUACUCAAUUUACUGUAUAAUAAAAAAAUUUAACAGUUACAAUAGUAGAUAUAAUGACCUGUUGAGAAACAAUAAAUUGAUAAAAGCUACCUUAGGGAUAACAGAAUAAUUAUUGUUAAGAGAUCGUAUCGAAGUAAUAGUUUGUCACCUCUAUGUUGAAUUAAGAUAUCCUAUAAGAGCAGUCACUUAUGAGGGUAGGUCUGUUCGACCUUUAAAAUCUU
rnacentral:rRNA from 1 species